CGAGUUUGAUCAUGGCUCAGAACGAACGCUGGCGGCAGGCUUAACACAUGCAAGUCGAGCGCCCCGCAAGGGGAGCGGCAGACGGGUGAGUAACGCGUGGGAAUCUACCCAUCCCUACGGAACAACUCCGGGAAACUGGAGCUAAUACCGUAUACGCCCUUUGGGGGAAAGAUUUAUCGGGGAUGGAUGAGCCCGCGUUGGAUUAGCUAGUUGGUGGGGUAAUGGCCUACCAAGGCAACGAUCCAUAGCUGGUCUGAGAGGAUGAUCAGCCACACUGGGACUGAGACACGGCCCAGACUCCUACGGGAGGCAGCAGUGGGGAAUAUUGGACAAUGGGCGCAAGCCUGAUCCAGCCAUGCCGCGUGAGUGAUGACGGCCCUAGGGUUGUAAAGCUCUUUCACCGGUGAAGAUAAUGACGGUAACCGGAGAAGAAGCCCGGCUAACUUCGUG
rnacentral:rRNA from 1 species